AGUGAAAGCCAGCUACAGUUCCUACCACUGUGCUGAGACUUCCAGGACCGAAUGCUUGUCUCUCAUCUCUACCUCCUAGGGUCAACGGCAGAUGGAGCUGGGGGAGACCUGUGACCUACACCCUGUGUUCGUCUUCUGUAACAGAGAGAGAUGAGGUCCAGGCAGCACAGAACUCUGAAACAACCAUGUAAAUGUGAAGGUCACCUCCUAGAAGAUGGAAGACUGCAUGGAAAAGAAGCAGGGCUCCUCAGCUGAGUCUCCCCAGACUGAGCAGCCAGCGAUGCCUGAAUUUCUUCACCUUUCCAUUAUGAACAUUUUGGGUCAAAUGAUUCUUUAUGUAGGUGCUUGUGCUGUGCAUUGUAUGAUGAUUAGCAGCACUCCUGGAUUGAUUCUUAUAAAAUCCCCCAGCUAUGACAGUAGGUAUUAUAACUAGACAUUGCCAAGUGACCACACACAGUAAGGGGGUGGGUUUAAAUUGGGAAAUCACCUUGCUAGACCAUCAAGCCCCAGCUGGCACCCCUGGCUGAAGAAUCACUCAAUUGACUGUCAGAAAAAAGAUGAACCAUCAGGUGUUAGGAUGGUUUGUUUGUCAUCAAAAGUCAACUAGCACAGUCUCUGCAACAGAGGCAGUGUAUAUUCGCCACAACUUUCUGCUUCCUGGAUGCACAGAAAGACUACAUUUCCCAAGCUUCUUUGUUCUAGGUGGAGAGCGUGCAAUUCAGUGCUUGCCAGUGAGGAGUGAUGAAUCGCUCUAUCUGGAGCAUGACUGCUGGUACAAGUCUACCUUGUCCAUGCUUCUUGUAUCUGCUUGCCUGGAAAGAAGGGACUCCAACACAGUGAGAGCUACAAAAUAGGAGUCCUUACACCUUCGGCACCACUGGAGAAAAGCUGCCCGGCAAGGUUACCUGAUCUCCCCUGGACUGUGACAUAAGCCACAAUGAGAUUUAGGGUUUAUUCCUUAUCACAGCAAAAUCUGACCACCAUCUUCCUUCUUAAAAUACAUUAUAGAUCGGAAAUACCACGUUUAGGUUUUCUUUUGAGACGAGAAAUGAGAAAGUUUGAAUUAGAUUUUCCAGGAAAAGAACAGAUUUCCUUCAACAACUUAAGCCAGUUACAUCAACUGCCAGAGUGCAAAUCCCAGCUUUUACAUUCACUCAUUCAGUAGAUAUUUAUUACGUAACUCUAAAUACCAACAACCACACUGAGAACAAAGCUGCCUGGAUGAGUAAGACAUGAUUCCUGUCCCUGAGGAAAACACAGCCCAUAGGAGAAGAAAACCACAUUGAAGGAAAAUUCUCAAAAUACGUCAACCACAACCAUGAAUAACCUGUAAGCCACGUGCCUUGAGAUCUUCAAAACAUUAGUAAAUAACUGCGUAGAAGAAUCAGGAAAGGAUUCACAGGGGUUAUGCUAUUAUAGGAGUUGAUUUCUAUUAUACAGAAAAAUACAGUGAAUAUUCAAAUUAAAAAUUUAUUACAGUAACACACACAUAGCUAUUAAUCCUUCUCAAAAUCCUAUCCCUUACUUCAAACAUAACUUAUACCAUCAUUCGUGCCACUUUCUGAAGCAGUUCUGGAAGUCCCACUUUGUGAAUAUCUUUUUUCUGGCUGUCUCAGUGUCCUGAAUUAAUUCAAAUGUUGACAGCAAUUUAUGUCAACUAAAAGCCUGACAGUGCAUCCUCAACCACAUCAUGCACCAGAUCUGGUGCUGUGCAACUUGUGGCUCUUCCUCAAUGUUGAAAUGACUACCUCGAAGGGUAGGUGUUCUGAAUUGAUUCAGGACAUCAACAGGAUAACUGAAAAGAAUGGAUAAAUACAGAUUUUUAAUAGGUAACAAAGGGAAAAAUGUAUGGGAGUAUUAACAACAGAAGAACAUUGUUGACCAAGGAAGAACAACAGGAAAAUAUGUGGCAAUGUGGAGUGGCAUGGGAAAAGAAUUGAGGAGACUCAUCUCACCGAUAGACAAUGUUCUGUGUAUUUAUUGUCAUAUGAACUACUCCAACAUGCAACAGCUUAUAGAAACAGCUAUUUUCUUUUCCUGCAUGAUUUUGUAACCAGGGCCUUGUCGGAUGAUACUUCAGCAGCAUGUGCUGCGGAUGGGUGUUGUUCACAUGGAUUUGGCUGAUGGGUGGGCUAAUGUGCAGGAUGCAACGAAACUUUACUCCCAAGUCUGAUGCCUCCUAGGGCAGAAGGCUGGGCUCCCCUGAGACUGCUGACCUCAGCACCAACAUCCCACCUCGCUAGUACAACUGGCCUGAAAUAGCCAGACCCUUCAUUUUCCGGGGCUCCCAGAGAGAGGCCCAGGGAGCAGAAUGUGAAGGUACCAGGAUGGUGAGCCUGAGAUUACAGACUGACCUGGACUCACUUCUGCCAUAUUCUGUGAUCCACGUAACUACAGAGGCUGCCCAGAUUCCAGAGGAAGUGGUCACCCCACUUCUUCGUGGGAUGAAGAGUGGAAAGUUUAUAGUCCAGAGCAGAGGUCUUGAUGUCUCUGUAAACCAGACAAAAGUUUCUGUCCGAUUGAACCCUAGCAGUAGGAACAUUGAUAUCUAACAUGUUUUUCUGAGCCCAGUUGGACUCCUGCCUUUUUUGAGAUAGAGUCAUUGUCAGAGAAGAGCCUGAAAGAUCAGUAAGACUUUUUUUAACCAAGCCAGCUUUGGCAGGAGAAGCACUCACAUCAGAUGCAAGAAGACAGAACAUUUAGCAAGCAGCCAAAUUGUGGCACCGUGUGGAAGACGGCUGUCUGGACAGGAAGUGCAGCUCAGAGAACAGGUGCCAACUGCUCUUCUGCUGCUCCUGAGCUGCUGCCUCUGAAGAAGCUAUGAGGAAACCUCCUUGAAUGCAGCAGGGAUCAGAGAGGUACCGAGGCCCCUUGCGAACAACCCCAACCUCCCCAAACCCCAAUUAGCUGUGAUUAACACAGCUAGCCCUCCUGAAGAUUCUCUGCUUUGGCCUCAGUGUUUUCAUGGAGAUGUAAAAGCUGUCAAUCAAACAGUGGGGGACUGUGAAUCUGUGAAUGUCCCCUGGAACCACUCCCAUGACAGCCGCAGCUCUCCAGAGUCCCCUGCCCCACCUCGGGAGGUAUCCACUCUGACCACAGUGAGCUUGAAUUUCAACUGAACAGUACAGGGGAAUUCACCAAUAAGUAGGCUCGGGAGGAAGGUUUGCAUUUAGACCGAUUUGGACCUAGAGAGAGGCUCCAGUGUGGACCAGUGAGCAGAUUUGAAUUUGGACCACUCACAGGUCUGAACUCAGAACAGUCGUAGGCCUGGGCUUGGAUGAACCACAGGUCUGCAGCUGCUGCAUAAGCAGCUGUCCUUUCACGCUUGUUGGGUUGGUCUAGGAGGGCUCCCCCUUGUGUACUGACCGAUUCCCCUGAACUACAGCACAGGUCUUGUUCCAAUGAAGCCCUGUUCCGAUGGCCCUGCAACUCUGCUCCUGAUCUAUUUCUUGGCUACUCUGGGCUCAGAAGGUCCUGUAAAUCCAUUCAGGAUUCUUCUCCUGAGUAGUGUGGACAGAAUGGUCGUUUUAAAAGACAAAGCAGUAAACGCCAGGAGCUGUUAGUCUUAAAGAGACCUGUGACAAGUCAGCCAGUGGCAUCCUGCAUUGACUGAUAUCUAGUAGCAGCAGCAGCUCCCAAAGCUGUAACACUGAGGCCUGAGGGGCAUUAGAGCUCAAAGCCCAGAGCUGCACUUCACAAAAGAACCUGCCACCGACUGGAAACACUAUGUUUUCAGCCCUUAGAAUACAGUAGGCCCUUGAUAGAAAGGUAUAGAGUGCAUGGAUAAAUCAAUCUCCAUUUUAUAGAUGAGAACACUAAGAAAGAUAAUUUAAUGGCUUGCUUGAAGUCACACAGCAAAUGACUAGCAGACUAUGUAUUCAAAGGCAGCCAGGCAUCUGGUCCAAGAUCGAAGGGUGUAACCCUCUCCUCACUGCUUUCCAAGGAAACAAUGUAUCCAUGGGUUAUAGCUCUUUAAAUUGGACUGCCUGGGUCUACCUAUGAUCAACAUAGCUGUGUGACUGAUCCAUGCAGUGGUCUUAAUAAUAUCAAGUCCGCAGAGACAGCAUGACAUUUAAGAAGACAUAAGAAAAUGAUCUGCAGUCUCUCACGCACCGUAGGUCUGCCAUAUCGCUUUGCAUUACUAUCAUGAUCAUUCUGAUUGCCGCAAUGAGCAAGUUGCUACCCUCCACUGCCUGGGUUUAAACAAGUGGGUCUUGGGUGUAUCCCAUCCUGGGCUUUAUUCUUGCACUUUCAAAGGCAAAGCUGAGCUUCUGCAGAGACUGCUGACCUUGCAUGCUAAUGCUUCUGAUUUUCUGCCUGAGCCCCCAGUCUAGGGCAAGAGGAAUGCAGCUCACAGGGGUGAAGGUGCUUUGACCCUGAUUCCAAUGCCCUUGAGAGGAAGAGCAGCAUGGCUGCCCUAGGAUGAGCUUCUCAUUCCAGAGCUUCACUGCUCGGAGCUAUUUCGAUGAAUAUAAAAUGAAGGGGCUGAGUUAGAGGAUUUCCAGAAUACCACCGGACUCUGUGCUCCCAGGAUGUAAAUAGUGCUAUGUUCAGAAAUAGAGACAAUGGAUGUGCAGCAAGUGAGAGAAAUGAAACAGUCAUGUGGAAAAACCCAAAGGCAAGACUUUAAAGAACCAGAUCUGGUUCCAGCGAUGUCUAAAGGAUUGUUGCAUUCCAUUCUUGCAUUCCCUAAGAUACUCUGUAUCCUAAUCAGAUCCUUAUUUGUUAGUUUGUGAGCUUAUUCCAUUUAGCCUUCUGUUUCUUGUCACCAAAUAAAAUCCUAACAAAUACCCCAACAUGAAAAAUGAAGUCCUGGGAGCAAAAACCAGGCUAGAGUGAGCAGAGAGUACAAACUGAAGAGGUAGAAAGCAUGAGGAGGCAG